GAGGGUCUAGCUCAGUGGUACAGCACAUGCUUAGCAUGCACGAGGUCCUGGGUUCAAUCCCCAGUGCCUCCA
rnacentral:tRNA from 1 species